AUAAUGGCCUGGAUAAGUGACUGUCUUUGGUGUUUUAAGUGUGUUUCUGAAGAGCUGCAUGGAGGAUGAAAUCAUUGUGUUAGUGCUAUUUUGAAAAUACAAAGUGGGACAUGUCAAUUGUUUGUUAAUUUCCCUUUGAAAGACAACAAUGUGGACUAGAAUGUUGCUGAGAGAAUGACAGAGUCAAUAUAUGGAAUCAAUCUGAUGCUCCAUCUGCUGUGGUGGUGACCCGUGUACUGUCGAGGGGACUUCCUUGUCACCUUGCCUGUUUGAGCUCUCA
rnacentral:misc_RNA from 1 species